rnacentral:rRNA from 1 species
AAACUACCAGUCAUGCUUGGAGCGACAGGAUAGUACUGUGUACAACACUGUGCUAGGCUCAAAGAGGAGUGCAGGACUACGGACCGGCUCCCGCCUCAUUUGUUGUUAAUUUAAUUACUAUUAUUACACUGUUUAAGCUAACUAAAUUAGAUUUAAUUCUGAUUUUGUUAGUUGACUUAUGGCAUGCACCUGAUUGCUAGUCAAUUGGACUGCAUGUGACGAUCGCCUAGCGGUGCCUUAUCCUAGGCUCGAUCGGUAAAUCGAAAUGUUUGUUUUCAUUAAUUUUCAUUAAUGAAACAAAUAUUGUACAACUUUAAGCGGUGGAUCACUCGGCUCGUGUGUCGAUGAAGAGUGCAGCCAACUGUGUGAAUUAAUGUGAACUGCAUACUGCUUUGAACAUCGACCUCUUGAACGCAUAUUGCGGCCACGGGAUAUCCUGUGGCCACGCCUGGCCGAGGGUCGGCUUAUAAACUAUCACGAUGCCCAAAAAGUCGUGGAUUGGAUGCUGUGCCAGCUGGCAUGAUUUCCUCAAUGUAGUAUUUAAUUAAUAUACUAACAUAUGAGGUGCCAGAUCUAUGGCUCCAUCCUAAUGUAUCCGGUUACAGCCAAGUCUAUAUUUAUUAUUAUUAAAUGAUAAAAUUGCUGUAUUACUGGAUUAUGCUCAGGUCGUGGCUCAAUGAUUUUGAACACGCUUGAUGUUAUAAUCCAUAUAUUAAUUAUAUAAAUAUAGACAUUGGAUUAUUUUGUAGCCGAUGGAGUGUAAAUACUCUAUAAUAUGGGUAAUUUAUUGAUUUAUAUGAUACCCUAAUUAUAUAUAUUAUGACCCUGACCUCGGAUCAGACGUGAUUACCCGCUGAACUUAAGCAUAUCACUAAGCGGAGGAAAAGAAACUAACCAGGA